GAGCUGUUCCUAAAUAAUCAAGCGGAGCUGCACGCUGCCGACUGGCUGUGUUCAAAUUGGGUCUGAGUUCCCGGGGUCCCCGAGGCCGCGGGGUCUGCUCGAUGGAGACGGCAGGACGAGAACAGCGUGUGAAAUAACAGGAUGCUGCGGAGUCGGCCGGCAGCCUGAGGGGCGGAUCCGUCGGCGGUGAUUGGCUCUGCUUGCGCGCCAAUGAGGUAGACCGAGGCAGUGCGUGACAGCGUGGUUUGACUGUGAGCAGUAAUGAGGCCCCGAGCUGCCGCCGCGCUGAGGAGACGCUUCGACGGCCGAGACAGGAGGAUGACCUUGUUGACCAUGAACACACACACGGAAAGCAUACUUAUCUUCUUCUGUAAAGUUCA
ensembl:lncRNA